GCAUAUCAAUAAGCGGAGGAAAAGAAACUAAACAAGGAUUCCCCUAGUAACUUGCGAGUUGAAGCGGGAAAAGCUCCAAAUUUAAAAUCUGGCGGUCUCUGGCCGUCCGAGUUGUAGUCUGGAGAAGCGUUUUCCGCGUUGGACCGUGUACAAGUUUCCUGGAACGGAGCGUCAUAGAGGGUGAGAAUCCCGUCUUUGACACGGACCCCAAUGCUUUGUGAUGCGCUCUCAAAGAGUCGAGUUGUUUGGGAAUGCAGCUCAAAAUGGGUGGUGAAUUCCAUCUAAAGCUAAAUAUUGGCGAGAGACCGAUAGCGAACAAGUACCGUGAGGGAAAGAUGAAAAGCACUUUGGAAAGAGAGUUAAACAGUACGUGAAAUUGUUGAAAGGGAAACGCUUGAAGUCAGUCGCGUCGGCCGGGACUCAGCCUUGCAUCAGCUUGGUGUACUUUCCGGUCGACGGGCCAGCAUCAGUUUUGAUCGCGAGAUAAAGGCGGAGGGAAUGUGGCUCUCUCGGGAGUGUUAUAGCCCUUCGUCGGAUGUCGCGGUUGGGACUGAGGUACUCAGCACGCCUUUAUGGCCGGGGUUCGCCCACGUACGUGCUUAGGAUGCUGGCGUAAUGGCUUUAAACGACCCGUCUUGAAACACGGACCAAGGAGUCUAACAUGCCUGCGAGUGUUCGGGUGGAAAACCCGUGCGCGCAAUGAAAGUGAAAGUUGGGAUCCCUGUCGUGGGGUGCACCGACGCCCGGCCCAGACCUUUUGUGACGGAGCUGCGGUAGAGCAUGUAUGUUGGGACCCGAAAGAUGGUGAACUAUGCCUGAAUAGGGUGAAGCCAGAGGAAACUCUGGUGGAGGCUCGUAGCGAUUCUGACGUGCAAAUCGAUCGUCAAAUUUGGGUAUAGGGGCGAAAGACUAAUCGAACCAUCUAGUAGCUGGUUCCUGCCG
rnacentral:rRNA from 1 species